CAGUCGCCGCGGUAAUACGAAGGGGGCUAGCGUUGCUCGGAAUGACUGGGCGUAAAGGGCGCGUAGGCGGAUCACGCAGUCAGAUGUGAAAUUCCUGGGCUUAACCUGGGGGCUGCAUUUGAGACGCGUGGUCUAGAGUGUGAAAGAGGGUCGUGGAAUUCCCAGUGUAGAGGUGAAAUUCGUAGAUAUUGGGAAGAACACCGGUGGCGAAGGCGGCGACCUGGUUCAUUACUGACGCUGAGGCGCGAAAGCGUGGGGAGCAAACAGGAUUAGAUACCCGCGUAGUCCCUGUCUCUUAUAA
rnacentral:rRNA from 1 species